rnacentral:lncRNA from 1 species
UAGCAGUUCACUGCUUGAAAGGAGGAAACCGAAAUUUGUAGCAAGCAAUUGAUCUCAAAGGAUAAAGAGCUACAAAAGUGCAACGACAGCUAGGAGGUUGAAAGGUAGGUUGGCUGCUUACGGUUCUUUCAAUCCCACAUUGAGAAAUAACAUCGUUGGUACUGUGCAGGUGCUUUGUAGAACCUUAAACUUCAGUAAUAUGGAUUGGAAUGCCUACUAGGCUGUUACUAAAGGGGGACUAGUUUUUUAUGCGAUGAACCCUUCGAGGGAAGAGUGGCCCAGCUUCAAGGCCAUGAUGCGCGAUAAAGUAUUGUCACCUCCAGGUACUUCCCAAGUUGAGGGAUCAUUAGUAAAGGGUUAUGAACAGCUUUUAGAGGAUGACAUUGGGGGUUAGACCUAAGUUGAAGACCCAUUUGCUGUGACCAAGCC